rnacentral:rRNA from 1 species
UACAUAGGGUGCAAGCGUUAUCCGGAAUUAUUGGGCGUAAAGCGUUCGUAGGUGGUGUGUUAAGUCUGAUGUUAAAUACUGGAGCUCAACUCCAGUCCGCAUUGGAUACUGGCACGCUAGAGUCAUGAAGAGGUUAGCGGAAUUCCAUGUGUAGAAGUGAAAUUUGUAGAUAUAUGGAGGAACACCAAUAGCGAAAGCAGCUAACUGGACAUUGACUGACACUGAGGGACGAAAGCGUGGGGAGCAAACAGG